rnacentral:rRNA from 1 species
UACGUAGGGCGCAAGCGUUGUCCGGAAUUAUUGGGCGUAAAGAGCUCGUAGGCGGUUUGUCGCGUCUGCUGUGAAAACUCGAGGCUCAACCUCGGGCUUGCAGUGGGUACGGGCAGACUAGAGUGCGGUAGGGGUGACUGGAAUUCCUGGUGUAGCGGUGGAAUGCGUAGAUAUCAGGAGGAACACCGGUGGCGAAGGCGGAUCUCUGGGCCUUACCUGACGCUGAGGCGCGAAAGCUAGGGGAGCAAACAGG